AACGAACGCUGGCGGCAUGCCUAACACAUGCAAGUCGAACGAGAUCUUCGGGUCUAGUGGCGCACGGGUGCGUAACGCGUGGGAAUCUGCCCUUUGGUUCGGAAUAACAGUUGGAAACGACUGCUAAUACCGGAUGAUGACGAAAGUCCAAAGAUUUAUCGACAGAGGAUGAGCCCGCGUAGGAUUAGCUAGUUGGUGUGGUAAAGGCGCACCAAGGCGACGAUCCUUGGCUGGGAUGAGAGGAUGAUCAGCCACACUGGGACGGAGAAACGGCCCAGACGCGUACGGGAGGCAACAGUGGGGAAUAUUGGACAAUGGGCGAAAGCCUGAUCCAGCAAUGCCGCGUGAGUGACGAAGGCCUUAGAGUUGUAAAGCUCUUUUACCCGGGAUGAUAAUGACAGUACCGGGAGAAUAAGCUCCGGCUAACUCCGUGCCAGCCGCCGCCGUAA
rnacentral:rRNA from 1 species